rnacentral:rRNA from 1 species
AGUUUGAUCAUGGCUCAGGACGAACGCUGGCGGCGUGCUUAACACAUGCAAGUCGAGCGAUGAAGUUCCCUUCGGGGAACGGAUUAGCGGCGGACGGGUGAGUAACACGUGGGUAACCUGCCUCAAAGAGGGGGAUAGGCUCCCGAAAGGGAGAUUAAUACCGCAUAAUAUCUUUUUAAUGCAUGUUAGAAAGAUUAAAGGAGCAAUCCGCUUUGAGAUGGACCCGCGGCGCAUUAGCUAGUUGGUGAGGUAACGGCUCACCAAGGCGACGAUGCGUAGCCGACCUGAGAGGGUGAUCGGCCACAUUGGGACUGAGACACGGCCCAGACUCCUACGGGAGGCAGCAGUGGGGAAUAUUGCGCAAUGGGGGAAACCCUGACGCAGCAACGCCGCGUGAGUGAUGAAGGUCUUCGGAUCGUAAAGCUCUGUCUUCAGGGACGAUAAUGACGGUACCUGAGGAGGAAGCCACGGCUAACUACGUGCCAGCAGCCGCGGUAAUACGUAGGUGGCAAGCGUUGUCCGGAUUUAUUGGGCGUAAAGCAUGCGUAGGCGGAUAUUUAAGUGGGAUGUGAAAUCCCGGGGCUUAACCCCGGUGCUGCAUUUCAAACUGGAUAUCUAGAGUGCAGGAGAGGAAAGCGGAAUUCCUAGUGUAGCGGUGAAAUGCGUAGAUAUUAGGAAGAACACCAGUGGCGAAGGCGGCUUACUGGACUGUAACUGACGC